AACGAACGCUGGCGGCAUGCCUAACACAUGCAAGUCGAACGAGACCUUCGGGUCUAGUGGCGCACGGGUGCGUAACGCGUGGGAACCUGCCCUUAGGUUCGGAAUAACUCCCCGAAAGGGGUGCUAAUAUCGGAUAAUGUCUUCGGACCAAAGAUUUAUCGCCUUUGGAUGGGUCCGCGUUGGAUUAGCUAGUUGGUAGGGUAAAAGCCUACCAAGGCGACGAUCCAUAGCUGGUCUGAGAGGAUGAUCAGCCACACUGGGACUGAGACACGGCCCAGACUCCUACGGGAGGCAGCAGUGGGGAAUAUUGGACAAUGGGCGAAAGCCUGAUCCAGCAAUGCCGCGUGAGUGAUGAAGGCCUGAGGGUUGUAAAGCUCUUUUACCCGGGAUGAUAAUGACAGUACCGGGAGAAUAAGCUCCGGCUAACUCCGUG
rnacentral:rRNA from 1 species